rnacentral:lncRNA from 1 species
UAUUUUGUUUUCGUUAGUUAUUUCAUGAAUAAACAUCAGUUUUUGACCUCUUCUCACUCUACAAGAUAUAACUGGAGCUACGAGUAUCGAAAAUCUAAGAUAAAGAGCUACAACUCUAAUGUUGAAGUCAAAAGCCAAUUUUGAAGUCUCCAUCGUGCCACGAUGAGAAGGAAGAUUAACUUUUAAGAAACAGAAAUACUUGCAGAACAAGGAAGGCCUAUCGUGCCACGAUGGUGCGUAACUUUUAAGUAGAAAAAGCUUAUAUAUAGAGCUCCAGUUCUUAUAUUUUAUUCAAUUCAGUUUCCAUGAAAAUUAUUGUAUUCUAUAGUAAUCCAUGACUUGCUAAACCACUAAGGUUGAUCUACUGUAAGAGAAUUUCUCCAAGACCUUGAGGUUAUUAUAUUAUUCAGUUUUGUUUAUUUCUUUUCAAUUAUAUUCUUGUUACUAGUUUGCUUAAUUCAAGUUUCAUAGAAUAUGAUUGUUAAUUUCGAUUGAUUUAUAUGUUAGGGUUGAUUGCAAUGUAAGUCCCAUAUUGCUAAUGAAAUUGAAUGUGAAUAUAUUCCAUAUGAAAAUUCAGUAGCUUACCGUGAGUUUUAAAAUCUGAACAUUAUAAAUUGUUCUAAAGGGAACCUCAGAUGCAACUAUAUCGGCCAUGAUCAAAUUGGAUAAGGUUGUAACCCUAACAUUACCCUGGUCUUGUUCUAUAUAGUAAAUGUAAGUUUUCAAAUUCUCCAAAAUAGGACACCCAUAUA